UACGAAGGGGGCUAGCGUUGCUCGGAAUCACUGGGCGUAAAGCGCACGUAGGCGGAUUGUUAAGUCAGGGGUGAAAUCCUGGAGCUCAACUCCAGAACUGCCUUUGAUACUGGCGAUCUCGAGUCCGGGAGAGGUGAGUGGAACUGCGAGUGUAGAGGUGAAAUUCGUAGAUAUUCGCAAGAACACCAGUGGCGAAGGCGGCUCACUGGCCCGAUACUGACGCUGAGGUGCGAAAGCGUGGGAGCAACAGGAU
rnacentral:rRNA from 1 species